CCUACGGGUGGCUGCAGUGGGGAAUAUUGGACAAUGGGGGCAACCCUGAUCCAGCCAUGCCGCGUGUGUGAAGAAGGCCCUCGGGUUGUAAAGCACUUUCAGUGAGGAAGAACGCCUGGUGGUUAAUACCCAUCAGGAAAGACAUCACUCACAGAAGAAGCACCGGCUAACUCCGUGCCAGCAGCCGCGGUAAUACGGAGGGUGCGAGCGGUAAUCGGAAUUACUGGGCGUAAAGCGCGCGUAGGUGGCUUGAUAAGCCGGUUGUGAAAGCCCCGGGCUCAACCUGGGAACGGCAUCCGGAACUGGCAAGCUAGAGUGCAGGAGAGGAAGGUAGAAUUCCCGGUGUAGCGGUGAAAUGCGUAGAGAUCGGGAGGAAUACCAGUGGCGAAGGCGGCCUUCUGGACUGACACUGACACUGAGGUGCGAAAGCGUGGGUAGCAAACAGGAUUAGAUACCCCAGUAGUC
rnacentral:rRNA from 1 species